CGGCCACGCGGCGCCCCGGCGCGGCUGCGGCGGUGCGGGGCUUCCCCGGGAGCCUGGAAGGCUUUCGGGCCGGGCCGUGCGGCGGCGCGCUGGGCUCCAUGAGAGAGCACCUAGAUGUGUUUGAAGCGUCUGGGAAUGAAGCAGACAUGGCUUUGCCACCUCCGUCAGGACCUCGGAAGGGGAAAAUAGCAAGAGAAGCUACCAAAGCCCCAGCAGAAUUGGGACAGGGGAGGUGGGAGCCCUCAGUAGGGUUGGACAUUUGGGAAUUGUGUGCCAGACAAGUACAGAAUAAAUGCUACAUGUGAAGCAAAGACACCGUAAGGUGUUGUCCUGGAGAAGGCCAUGCAUAAGUGCAUUCUGAAGCCGUUGAAGAGCCAUAUUGAAGCGAUGUUGAAAGAGUUUCAUACUGCAGAUGGUUCUUGGAAACAACCGAAGGAAAACCUUCAGGUGGUGCGGCAGAGGAAUCCUCAGGAACUGGGCGUGUUUGUUCCAACACCAGACUACGUGGAUGUUGAAAGUUUGUGACCCCGCAGAAAAUGUAUUCGCCUGAAAAGAAAGUCGUACUGCUGCUGAGAGUUUGCAAAUUGAUUUAUACUGUUAUGGAGAAUAACUCGGGUAUGGUGCUUCUUGUGGUUCAAGGUCAUUGUUUUUCUAAACCUGGGGUUGUGUUUUGGUGGAGGAAAUG